CCUAAACUAAGUGGACUAGUUCCUCUUCUUAUUAAAUGCCUUAAGAAGAAAUCUGACAGCAUGCUUAGAAAAGAAGUACUGCUAGAGUUUAAAAGUUUAUUAAAUUUUUUAUUACAAGUAAUUGCAUUCAAACAAAAAUAAAUGCAGAUAAUACAGAAGAGUAUAACAAACAAAGUGGAAGGUCUUCCUACCCACUUCCAAUUGUCAGAGCCUUUCAAUUCUUGGGGAUAUCUUUCUCACUUUUGAGGGCCUAUGGAUGCCCCCAAACUCUGUCUUCUGGUACUUCAAGCCAGCAAGACUAUGGGGUUUUUUUCCCUCCAUUUUAACCAUGUCAUCCUCACCCUCUGCCCCUGUAUGGCACAGACUUGAACCUGCUCUCAGGCUAAAAGCCAUAAAAAAUAAAACUCACCUAGCACUAUUCGCUUUUUUCUAAAUGCUGAUUCCCCUCCAGUAUCUGCCUGCCUUUGAUUGCUCCCAAGUACCUUUCAUUGUGGUUGUAUUUUACACUUUGCCCAGAGUUUACAGUUAUUUGUGGAAGUUAGUGUGCUAAGAGGUACAUAACCAUGAUCAGAAGUGGAUGCUCUCACUUGCAUGAGAAGGGCUGAUUUGAGGUUCUGUGUAAGGGUGGGAGUUGUAGCAUCAGGUGCUCAGUAGUGUUUGUGGGCAGGGAAGUGGUAUGUCAGCUAGGGACAUCUCAAAAAAUAAAAGGACUUUACUUUUGGCUAGGAUGAAUGUUUGUAUGUAUAUAUCUCAUGGGUGGAAUGACCUUGACUUUUAAAAAUUUUCCCUCAGUGUCUGUAACGUAAGUCCUGAAUUACCUCAACAUCUGCUCUGUUUCUCCUUCAGGGCACAGAAGCCACACUAGGAGCCUUCUCCAAAGAGGACCCUCUUUCCACAGAGAGCGCUCCUCCGGAUUCUACCUUGGUGGCAGCCACUCUGAUAUAUGGAGGAAGGAGCGGGAUGAGCAGCUGAUGGGGAAUGCAUUCUUGAGUUGCUUACCCCGACAAGUGCUCCACAGUUCCCCGAUGCUCUAUAUGAGGAGCCAAGCUCCAGCCUUCUCUGUGGCUCCCUCAGAAAGACACACGUUCAUCUCUGUUGGGAGACUGAGACCAAGUCAUGUGCCUACCGUCACAGAGCUGGAAGGUGGCAAGGAUGGGAU
rnacentral:lncRNA from 1 species